ensembl:lncRNA
UCUCUGCAGAAACUGAGUGGGAAGACAGUGUUACAGGUGAGAGCCAAGGAGGAUCACUGCUCUGAGACGCCUCAGCCCAUGUCUCCUCACUGAAGCGGAUGAACCAAAAUGUUGCUGUUGGAUGCCGAUAAGAAUUUAUGAGUGCUGAGAGUUAUGCCAGGCGAAAAGGAAGUGGUUCCCUUUGAGAAAUCUGUAUCAGGAAUGUACCAUGUACGGGGUAGUGUCCUGAUUCUGUAAAAAUUUUUCCCUGGAUAAGGACAGGCUUUUGUUCUGAAUUGGUACGUAAAUGUGGCGUGAUUUGGAAACUUCUUGUUAACAGCUGGCGUGCCAGAAAAGAGUAUUUUCCUUCAUUUGAGCUGUCUUCUUUGGAUAAAUUCCCAGUACUGGAAUGGAUUUGCCAAAGGUUUCAAACUGUGCUUCCCAGGACUUUGGCUGUUAUCAAGGCUGUCACCCCCCUAAAACAAAUCUCCUCAGUUUUAGUCAACUGCAUUUAUUGAACAUCACAUUUGUGUUCAUUUUGUGUGUGUGUGUGCAUAUAUGCGAGUGCAAAAAGUUUUCCCAAAUGUGCUUGUCAGAACUUUAGUAUUCUAUCCCAGUAAUCUGGCAUCAAAUUCAACUUUUCUUAUUCUCGUGCAAUCUUUUUGUGAAAUGCUCCUAGCUAAUGUGUGAAUGGGCUUCCCAGGUGGCAUGAAUGAUAAAGAGCCCGCUUGCUAAUGCAGGAGACAUGAGACAGGAGUUCAAUCCCUGAAUCAGGAAGAUCCCCUGGGGGAGGGCAUGGCAACCCACUCCAGUAUUCUUGCUUAGAGAAUCCCAUGGACAGAGGAGCCUGGUGGGCUACAGUCCAUAAGGGUUGCAAGAGUUGGACACAACUGAAGCAGCUUAGCACAGAUGCGAUGUCUGAUUAAUGUUUAGAAAUGAUACAGUUCUACUGUCUUGAUAUUUUCCAAGAUAUGGCACAGGUACUUCUAUUCUGGUCUGAGCCUUUUUUUCAAAGAAACAUCUGGUAGAAAUGCCCAAGCCCAGAAUGUAGUUGGUUCUUCUACUGACACCUGUUGAAUGAAAGAAUGAGUCUUUUCCCUUGGUAAGCAGAGUGAUUAAAGAGAUGAUUGUGUUUAUGCAAGCAUGUCAUACAUUAAAUCAAUAAACAUUGAGUUUUUACUGUGUGCCCAACAGUGUAAUAAACACUGAGAAUAAUAGAAUAAAUGAUUUAAGAUCCUGCCCAGAGGACUGAUAACCUAGAGGGCAAACUGUAAUGGGCUGUAACAAGUUUUGAUUGAAAUGUGUACAUAAUCUUUGGGGGGUACAGAACAAAGAGUGAUCUGUUCCUUUGGGACUGAGGAACUAAAGGGAGUCAAUAGAGAGAAAAGGGAAAUUUGAGUAAGACUUUGAAAUGGGAACAAAAGCUGGAUUUUGAAGGUCUUCUGGAAUUAGG